ACUAACCUCAUCAGAACCCUUAAGCUAAUAAUAUCAUUGACUUCAUCGUCUCCGGCAGGAUGUGGGCACCGACGAGCCUCCCUCUUCUUACUCUACGUCGCCGAGUGGGAAUGGUGGGGCGCGGGCACAUGCCGUGCAUUCUGCAGAGCACGACCUAUUGUGUAAAUAAGUUACUGUAUCUAUAUACUACAGAUAGGGAAAAAAGAGCCCUUAUGUUUCAUGUGUCUAGAUUUAAGAUGAUCUCAUGUGACAAUCUUAUACAACCAAUAAGUACGAAUAAAAAUAUAACUAAUCAGAGAUCAUUUAUAUUUUUCUAUACUCAAAUAAAAAUUAACUAUUGAUUAAACAACAAUAAAAGAAGUAGACACUUGAACUAUAGGAGAAGAGAUAGGAAAAACAUGCCAUUCAUCUAGUCAGUUCCUAAAAUGGGAGUACAAACAAACAUGCUCUCCGCCUUUUAUGUCCCCUACACUGGGGGAAGAUACACAAAAUUGUUAGGAUUUCUAAAAAAUGCUCCGAGCUUGUUAUUGCUUCAUCCUUUUUCCAAAGAUUAUUGUAUUCCAGGUAUGGACAUGAGGCUAUGCAAAAUAGUUAUCAAAAAGAAAGAGUUCUAUCAUUCUAAAAAAC
rnacentral:lncRNA from 1 species